AUACGGAAGGUCCGGGCGUUAUCCGGAUUUAUUGGGUUUAAAGGGAGCGCAGGCGGAGAUGCAAGCGUGACGUCAAAUUUCGGGGCUCAACCCCGUCUCGCGUCGCGAACUGCGUCCCUUGGUUGCGGGAAGGGGAGGCGGAACUCGUGGUGUAGCGGGGAAAUGCAUAGAUAUCACGAAGAACUCCGAUCGCGAAGGCAGCCUUCCGGCCCGUCAACGACGCUCAUGCUCGAAGGUGCGGGUAUCAAACAGGAUUAGAUACCCUGGUAGUCCGCACAGUAAACGAUGGACACCCGCGGUUUGACCCGUAUGGCUGAGCCGCCAAGCGAAAGCGUUAAGUGUCCCACCUGGGGAGUACGCCGGCAACGGUGAAACUCAAAUGAAUUGGCGGGG
rnacentral:rRNA from 1 species